ensembl:rRNA 5S_rRNA 5S ribosomal RNA
GUCUAUGGCCAUACCACCCAGAACAUGCCAAUCUUGGAAGCUAAGCUGGGUCAGGCCUGGCUGGUAGUUGAAUGGGAGACCACCUAGGAUUACUGGGUACUGUAGGCU